UCAUCAUAGGUUUUUUUCGGUUUCUGAUUUGGGUGUGUACGUUUCCAAAUCUAACUUUAUAUUGCCUUAAUCACUGUCUUGUUUGCUAAAACAUAGCACCAUUUUGAAACAUGUCAGCAACUCCUAGCAACUGAUAGCUUGGCUUAAAAUAUGUUUUACACAGCGGGGUUAGUUGUAGCACAGUGUUACAACUAAGCCGCCAAGUCUGCCACACACAAAUCUAAUUCAAUUGCAAUUACAAUAUUUGAUGAUUUUAUUUAUUUAUUUAUUUAUUUAUUGCAAAACUGUGCAGCCCUUUUCUAUGUCUCUAUCCAUGAUAUUGAUGCAUAAUAGAAGGAUGGUUAGAUGAGGGAUGGAUGUAUACAGAUGCACAAACAAUAUCAAACUAUACAAAUAAAAUAGUACUGAAUUAUGUGUGUUACACACAAGUGUUACAACUAACCCCUCUGUUACAAUUAACCCCGCAUAUGGGGUAAGUUGUAACAUUUGCACUUCUAAAAAAAAACUUUAAGUGUUCAUUUGUAGCAGAGAUGUGUAUGUUGCUUGUGUAAAAAAA